rnacentral:rRNA from 1 species
AACGAACGCUGGCGGCAGGCUUAACACAUGCAAGUCGAGCGCCCCGCAAGGGGAGCGGCAGACGGGUGAGUAACGCGUGGGAAUCUACCCAUCUCUACGGAAUAACGCAUGGAAACGUGUGCUAAUACCGUAUACGUCCUUCGGGAGAAAGAUUUAUCGGAGAUGGAUGAGCCCGCGUUGAAUUUGCUAGUUGGUGGGGUAAAGGCCUACCAAGGCGACGAUCCAUAGCUGGUCUGAGAGGAUGAUCAGCCACACUGGGACUGAGACACGGCCCAGACUCCUACGGGAGGCAGCAGUGGGGAAUAUUGGACAAUGGGCGCAAGCCUGAUCCAGCCAUGCCGCGUGAGUGAUGAAGGCCCUAGGGUUGUAAAGCUCUUUCACCGGUGAAGAUAAUGACGGUAACCGGAGAAGAAGCCCCGGCUAACUUCGUGCCAGCCGCCGCUGUAACAC